rnacentral:lncRNA from 1 species
AACUAUUACAAAAUGAGAUCAUUUUAGAAAAUGGCUUCUGAAGGCUAUUUAUAGAUUUUCAGGACAGUGAAGUUCGCUGAGCGAAAUGGUGUUCGCUAAGCGAACAGGUUACUUAGGUAAGGGGUUUCUUGACACGUAGCAAAAAGUCUGACUCAUCAUUUGUUCGUUGAUGCUCGCUAUCUCUCGCCAUCAGACCAUAACUCCCUGGUUUUGCUCGCCAUUUCUCGCUAUCUUUCGCUGAGCGAAUGUUCAUUUGUUGUCCUGCUCGCUGAAGCUCGCCAUGGACCCUGAACCCACUGGUUUUGUUCGCUGCAGCUCGCCAUGGAUUCGCUGAGCGAAGGCUUCAAAAUCUUGCUUUUAUCUAGCCAUUCCUAACAAAAUGUCUUGGGAUUAAUUUUUCUUUUAUCAAUGCUAUAUUUACAUCAAAAGGGGUUUUUAAUCAUGAUUUCUUCAUAAAUGUAUUGCUAAGUGCCCCUAAUUCAUAAUACUUUUUAACUCAAAUUGGGCACUUAUCAAUAA